GGCUAGUUUGCACUUUCAGCUCGUGAUACAUGCCCCACCCACACGGCUUUCUGAAAUGUUUUUAUCAAAACAAGCUCAGUGUCCGUGAGCAAACAAACAAGCAAACCAAUGAGUUAAAGAAAAUCAUGUAAGCAAGCAAGUGUCUGGCCAAUAGUUACAGCUCAUGCUCCGAGGUCUUCUGUGCAUCAGAAGAGCGGUGAUCUGUGCAUCAGCAUAUGGCGCGUGCACGCUAUUUCCGUCUUGGGUGGCACAUCGACUCCACAGCUGGAGAAUGAGUGGUUGUUCGGAGAUUUCUUCAGCCUGGUUCAUUAUCUGCUUUAAACGACGACGGCUCCAUCUGAGCAGGCCAACAGGAAGCCUGCUUUUGAUUUAACAGUGCUCUGAACAAGCUCCUUCUAUGGCUUUCCAAGAACUAAUUACAGAGCUUAGGAAAGGCGCCUGCCGCAAAGUCCCACGGAUGGCUUUACGAGCAAUUACAGCGGCCGCGUUGAUGCCGGCGGAAUACGAAUUUCCUGGGAGGAUGGCUUGGAAUGAGAGGACUGGCUUGUGGAGAUACACGCACGCGGGCUUCCCCUCUAUAGCUUCCAGGGGACUUUAAAGUCACAAAGUGAGAGGAGAUUGGUGCAGCGCCACACAGCAUCUGGGUUCUUGGGCACUCGUCGCCUUGCGCUUGUGUAACCUGACCCAAACAAGAGAGAUCGUUUCGAUACGUAGCAACUGGAGCACCGUCGAGGGAAGGAAGCACAGAGUGCUCUUUGGGGAAGCCUGCAAAGCUGAAGCCUGCUGGGAGCGCACGGCACGGGCCGCGCAGACUGCCGCGCUUGCAGCUCCGGGGAUGCGGCCGACGCAGAGCCCGCGGCGGCUCGUACGUAACUCACGGCGGCGGCGGGAGAGUGACUUCCGGAGCGCGCAGGCACUUCGGGAGGGCAAGCCUCCUGUUGCUGGAUUCCUCGCCACAAAGCCUCCGCCGGUUGCGUCGGCAGCGUGGGACGGCAGGAUGCAGAGUCCCUUCACAGACUUCGUCUCAUCCGAUUGCCACAGAAAGAGAAUCUGACGGUCAGAAGGACUGCUCUUCUUCCUUUUCAUUUCCUCCAGUCCAACAGCUGCGGGACCUGGGAAGCAAGGUCUACGGUGUAAGGAGGGUGUAUCCUGUUAACCCCCGGGACUCAUCUACCACACGGGAUUAGAGUCUGAGGCAGUAUUAAUUUUACGCCUGGAACUAGGUCUUGGUGGACUGCUACUUCAUCUCUUGCUCACUGUUAAUGAUGUCAGAGAUAGGCUCGGCUCCAUCUCGCCUGUGUUUGGGGAGACUGAGAAGAUUGGAGGCCGGAAGGUGGUGGGUGGGUGGCAUGGGAUUGCAUGGGUGGCAGGGCUGAGUCUGGGAGCCAAGGUAAAGCUCUACUGCUCCCCAAACUGUGCAAAACCACGUGCUGGGUGCUGUUCACACCCUUAUUAGAGUCUUUGUUGCAGGGGUGGUGAAAAAAGUUAGGAGAGGAUUCUAAAAAUAAAAGCGCACUAAAAUGAAAACAAAAUGUGAAAUGGCAUGGAAAUGGCAUGGAAAGAAAGAAGUAGUUGGAAGUUCUGGAUUAUGGAAUGAUUCCUUUUGGUCGUGGCGAGGGCCAACUUAGACUUCAACUUCUCGGGGCGCCUGGGUGGCUCAGUCGGUUAAGCGUCUGCCUUCGGCUCAGGUCAUGAUCCCAGGGUCCUGGGAUGGAGCCCCGCCUCGGGUUCUCUGCUCCGCGGGAAGCCUGCUUCUCCCUCUCCCGCUCCCCCUGCUUGUGUUCCCUCUCUCUCUGUGUCUCUCUCUGUCAAAUAAAUAAAUCUUUAACAACAACAACAACAACGAAAAGAUUUCAACUUGUCCUUCUCAUAUGUUUUCUUAAAACGUUCUUGCCGGUAAAGCAGAAGAGAUCCCCCGGACUGGUUUCUGAAGAAGGCCAAUGAUGAAUUUGUUUACCGAUUGACUGGUGAGUGCUCUGACUUUAGCCUCCAGGUCUUCAACUAAUGCUGACAACUUUGACCUAAUUUUGGGAGGCGAUUAUACUUGGCUGGGUUGCUGAGCUCUUUCUCAGAACCUCUUCUCAGGACACUUGCCAAAUACUCUUUUUGUAACUGUGUUGUAAAGUCUGAAGAAAGUUGUCUUGGGUCAUUGCCCAGGACCUAAUGCCCGAAUUGUAGACAUACAUGGUUGCAGUCCUUAUGUCCCACGAGGGCUGAAUGCAGGCAUCAGCAGCCCUUCUCUCACAGCUCUUCAGAACUAGAAAGGCUCUCUGAACUCUCCCAGUUGCCUGACGGGAAGCAAAGAAUUUUACCUCUCUACAUGGUAACAAUUCCUUCGUCAAGCACAGUCCUUCUCACUGCCUUUAAAACCAGGGUUCUCUUUCAUAAAUCAACACAUUUCAAACUUGAUGUGCCUGAAAGGCUGGUGUGGCUCCCUCCACCUCUACUCAGUCCUCUGAACUGGAGUAAUUGGGGUGUGUUCUAUUUCUUACCAUCACACAUGCCCUAACUAAGCCUUUGGAAAUUGGAACGUAUCUAGAAUUGACGCUGAAAUGUAAUCACACUUCGCCUCUCCAAAACGUGAAUAUGCCAUGGUUGCCUUCAGAAUACUAAUAUUUCUUUUGGAAUCAUGAUUACACCACCCAAACCCAGACUCUUCUUUAGCUUUGUUUAAAAAACAAAACAAAGGGCUCCUGGGUGGCUCAGUCGGUUAAGCGACUGCCUUCGGCUCAGGUCAUGAUCCUGGAGUCCCGGGAUCGAGUCCCGCAUCAGGCUCCCUGCUCAGCAGGAAGUCUGCUGCUCCCUCUGAUGCUCCCCCCUCUCAUGCUCUCUCUGUCUCUAUCUCAUUCUCUCUCUCAAAUAAAUAAAUAGAAUCUUAAAAUAAAUAAAUAAAAUAAAAUAAAAUAAAAAACAAAA